AUACGGAGGGUGCGAGCGUUAAUCGGAAUUACUGGGCGUAAAGCGCGCGUAGGCGGAUAAUUAAGUCAGAUGUGAAAUCCCCGGGCUCAACCUGGGAACUGCAUUUGAUACUGAUUAACUAGAGUAUGGCAGAGGUGAGUGGAAUUUCCGGUGUAGCGGUGAAAUGCGUAGAGAUCGGAAGGAACACCAGUGGCGAAGGCGACUCACUGGGCCAUUACUGACGCUGAGGUGCGAAAGCGUGGGUAGCAAACAGAAUUAGAAACCCUAGUAGUCC
rnacentral:rRNA from 1 species